CCUACGGGUGGCAGCAGUGGGGAAUCUUGCGCAAUGGGCGAAAGCCUGACGCAGCAACGCCGCGUGCGGGAUGAAGGCCUUCGGGCUGUAAACCGCUUUCAGCAGGAACGAAAAUGACGGUACCUGCAGAAGAAGGAGCGGCCAACUACGUGCCAGCAGCCGCGGUGACACGUAGGCUCCAAGCGUUGUCCGGAUUUAUUGGGCGUAAAGAGCUCGUAGGCGGUUGAGUAAGUCGGGUGUGAAAACUCUGGGCUUAACCCGGAGACGCCAUCCGAUACUGCUCUGACUUGAGUUCAGGAGGGGAGUGGGGAAUUCCUAGUGUAGCGGUGAAAUGCGCAGAUAUUAGGAGGAACACCGGUGGCGAAGGCGCCACUCUGGACUGAAACUGACGCUGAGGAGCGAAAGCAUGGGUAGCAAACAGGAUUAGAUACCCUUGUAGUC
rnacentral:rRNA from 1 species